rnacentral:piRNA from 1 species
UGCCACUACAUUUGUAGAUCAGAUGGCC